rnacentral:rRNA from 1 species
GCAGUGAGGAAUAUUGGACAAUGGCCGGAAGGCUGAUCCAGCCAUGCCGCGUGAAGGAAGACGGUCCUAUGGAUUGUAAACCGCUUUUGCGAGGGAGCAAUAAGGGCCACGUGUGGCCCGAUGAGAGUACCUCGCGAAUAAGCAUCGGCUAACUCCGUGCCAGCAGCCGCGGUAAUACGGAGGAUGCAAGCGUUAUCCGGAUUUAUUGGGUUUAAAGGGUGCGCAGGCGGCUUGUUAAGCGGGAGGUGAAAUGCCGGCGCUCAACGUCGGAAGUGCCUCCCGAACUGGUGAGCUUGAAUGACUCUGCCGUGGGAGGAAUGUGUAGUGUAGCGGUGAAAUGCUUAGAGAUUACACAGAACACCGAUUGCGAAGGCAUCUCACGAAGGGGUGAUUGACGCUGAGGCACGAAAGCGUGGGGAUCAAACAGGAUUAGAUACCCCGGUAG